UGGAACAUAAGAAAAAAAAGAAAUCAUGGUAAUAUGGGACCCAAACUACGAUGGACCUUUCAAUGGGAAGAGGGCUUGAAGGUUUGGUUUUCCAAAUCUUUUUUGGUCCUUCUUGGAAAUCCUUAUCGG
rnacentral:ribozyme from 13 species